UAAAACUAUGUGUAAAAGGAAAAAGACUC
rnacentral:piRNA from 1 species